UGAAAACAAAUAGCUUUUGUGGUUGAUUAAGAGCAGUGACACUACUGAAACACUUGAUAAGUGCAGAAUUCAUUUACUACCUGCAAACCUCUCUGCCAUUUUUUUUUUCUUUUGACAAGAUAAGGUUUUAAAGUGUGUUUUUCUUAUUCCUCCAGUUUUCCUUUCAUGUUUGCUUGAGGCAGUUGCUGUAGUGUCUUGAAUUGGUAUUAGCAGAAUAAUCCUUGGAUGACUAAAUACUUGGUUGGGCUAAAUUCAGAGCAGCUGCUGUAUCAGGCUGUGAUAGGAUGGACCUCAAGGUCAAAACCCAAUGCUCUUCUGAAGACAUCCCGUAAUGGUAACAAAAGGUAUAGUUGCAGAUCUAUUCAUAACUCCUUAACUUUGAUGCAUUGCUAAGAUGAUAGGCUAUGGUAAUAUUAAUAAUUUCAAUUAUGUUUCUCUGACAGAGAAGGAAGAUUGAAAACUCAAGCAUGAUGAACAAGAUGAGGCAAACACUGUUCACUUUGGCUGGAGAGCCUGGCUGUAUGAAGGAUGGGCCCCAUUUUCCAACCUUCCCACAGAAGCAAGGUUACAAGCAUUGGACUGUGAAAGUGGCUGCAAAUAUUUGUGAACUGAAGCCCAUUUUACAGAUGGCAAUAGGAAGUCAGAGUGUGGAGCAUGGUCAGGAGGACUUCCAGGCUGCACAGGACAGAGGAGAGAAGACCAUGAGCCUCAGACUGGGGUGGUGGUAACAGGACCCUGAGUUUCCUGGCAUGGACAAGACACUGGCAUUUGCUGAGGCGGUGCCUGGGCAGAUACAGGAGGGCAUCCGAGCCAAGACAUUGCAGAUCACAUUCAAAAGGGGCUCAGGGUUCUUGGAGAUGAUCAGCAUUAGGUAAAAGCUGAGCACAGAGGAUAUACAUUGUUUUCUUCUCUUUUUGACACUGUGCACUUUUGGGGGACCAGGCAAUGGCUCUGCUUGUGCUGUGUUGCUCAGUCUCACUGUAGCCAGCAUUGUGUCCCAGGAGAGCAAAGUUUACCUUCAGGCUGGUGCUUUUGACUAAUAAAGUGUAUUCCACCUGGGAGCUGGGUCUCACAGAGGGGAGCUGGUUCCCACAUGAGCCUAGGAGAGGAUGGGACCAUAAUGGGUGUGUUUGUCAGGGGCUCUAGAAAAGUGCAAGGCACUGCACCCCCAGGAGAAAGUGAUAGGAAUAGGAAUGGUACAGGAAGCAUUAAUCUGAAAGUGGGAUGAAACCUAGUUUUGCCAUGGUCAAGACAUCCCAGGAUUUCAAUCAGCUGUUCAUCUACAGAGACAUCAGGGCCAUUAUCUUCCUUUACCAUGAAGCUGGCUGGAUGCCUCAGUUUGACAUUUAUUUCACUCAUUUUUCUACCUUGUAAUUUCCAAACCUCAAUUUGGAAAACAUUUACAACAAGGCCACUGAAUGCACCCCUUCAUUUAACCUUACUGUAGAAAACUAGACAGGCUUCUCAGGUUCACUUACGUAAAAAAUAGAUCUUUUGGUUAUGCCAUGCUUGAACAAGAUCAUAGCAGAGGCUGGAUCACAACUGCUAGAAGCACCAAGCUCAUGCAAUGGGUUUAAAUAUCAGUGGCUCCAUCACAUAUGACUUCCUCUCCCUCUAAUCAAAUCUUUGAUAUUGCUGUAUUCUAUGCAUUUUCAUACUAAAAAAAAAUUAGUAUAUAUAUAUAUAUAAAAGUCACCUUAUGGUCACUUGAAUAAAUACAUGACUUGAAUAAAUACGUACCUUUUAAUGUCAGAAGCACAAAAAGACUGCGUGGUUUUACAGAGGAUGUGUGCUUUGGUGCUGACAUCUUUCUCUUUUGGUCUCAGUUACGUGCAAAUGACCUGGAAAGAGGCAGACAAGAGACAUAGGUCUUUGUCAUGUUUCAUUAGCAUUUAACUGUUUAAGAAAAUGAAACAAGAAAGCUAAAAUGCUGUGAAGGGAAAAAAAAAAAAAAACAAACAAAAAACCAACAAACCAAGCAAAAUAUCCUAGGGAAAUUUGGAAUUAUUCUGUGAUAUUUUUGAAACAGACCAAACUUCAAGAUAAGAUCAUAAAAUAUCACAAAAAUACUCUCAUUAAAGUAAGGAAGAGUGGCAAAGAUUGGAAAAUUAAUGUAAGGAGAUAGAAAGUAGCAGAGUGCACAAAAUAUAAAUAAUUCAAACAAG
ensembl:lncRNA